rnacentral:rRNA from 1 species
CUGGCUCAGGAUGAACGCUGGCGGCGUGCCUAACACAUGCAAGUCGAACGGGGUUACUGGCAGCGGAGAUUCGGUCAAAGCAGCCUUUAAUCUAGUGGCGGACGGGUGAGUAACGCGUGGGGAACCUGCCCUGUACUGGGGGGAUAACAGUGAGAAAUCACUGCUAAUACCGCAUAAGCGCACAGCAUCGCAUGAUGCAGUGUGAAAAACUGAGGUGGUACAGGAUGGCUCCGCGUUGGAUUAGCCAGUUGGCGGGGUAACGGCCCACCAAAGCGACGAUCCAUAGCCGGCCUGAGAGGGUGAACGGCCACAUUGGGACUGAGACACGGCCCAGACUCCUACGGGAGGCAGCAGUGGGGAAUAUUGCACAAUGGGGGAAACCCUGAUGCAGCGAACCGCCGCGUGAAGGAAGAAGUAUCUCGGUAUGUAAACUUCUAUCAGCAGGGAAGAUGAUGACGGCACCUGACUAAGAAGCCCCGGCUAACUACGUGCCAGCAGCCGC